UAUCAGAACUUAGUUUUGCUAUUGCCCAGUUGAACUCAAAGUUGAGGGCUGCCACCGAAGUGCUGUUUUGAACCAAAACUACUUAAUUUUGAGUUUAAAAAAAGGAGCGUGAGUGCAAACAAAAUAAAAAUAACACUUUCUACGACAAUACGACGGGUCGAAUCCUUCAGGCCUUCAGGCAUCUGGAUGAAAAACAUCAUUUUCGGCAAUCUAGUCUGCUGUCUGGAUGUCUUCACCGAAAUCGAACGAUUAUCUUGUUCGCUUUCAGCCAAGAAACAAUCAUUAUCAGCUGCAAGCCUCUCCGGCACAGUCUAGUGAAGCCUCCCUGAAAGAGGCUCGAUCUACCUUCAUUCAACAUCGCUCGCAGGCUUCCGAACAGGCACAGGACAAGAAAUGCAGACUGGGUUGCAACAUACAACACGGUGGCGAAGUGGUGCUAGAAUUUAUCGAUUACAAGGCCCACUAGCGAGAGGAUUGUGUUCGUUAGGUUCCAUCCGAAUGAUGGGGAAAAGCUGUACCAGUAAAGGACGAAUCACUCGAUCUACUCCCGGGCGAAGCGGACAGUAUCUUCAGCUACGAAAGCCUGCCGAAGAAGCACUAGUAAAAGUACAUGUACGCAGCUCGAUUUGUACAGAUAGUCCGGGUGAUGACCCCGAACGACUACAGCGAUCGGGCCAAGUUCCAGCUGAUGGAAGCACACAAAAAUUCGAAGCAUGUUUUCGUAGUGGUAAAAAUGGACAAAAAUUGUAAUAUCCAAUCAUGAAAGAACGAACAGAUAGCAACGGAUCUACAUUGAAAUCUCCGGAAUGAGCUCUGCUUGCGAACGGCCGUACCAGUGACGUGCUGUAUUCAAAAUAAUCAUGACAGCGCCAAUUUUCUCGACAUUCAGUUCUCUUUUAGUGGCUCCGGAGGAUCAGCCUUUGAAGUUGAACCGGUUCUUGAUAUUGUAUUCGUUAUUUUAUAUUCGCCUUGAUAAUUGAUUCUGACCAUUACACCUAUGCGUGUAGACCAGGCCGACAUUUCAUUGACUAAACUAAAAAUUGUAAAAAUGAACAUAGAUACAAAUUUAAAAAUAUAUUUAACCGAUCAUUGGACUCUAUGUUAGAAUCAUUGAUACUCUAUUCUCGCUGUCUUUACUUCAUAGGUUACCAAGAGCAAUCGUUGAAUUAUUUGAAACAUAUGGUUGGGAACCUAUUUUUAUAUAGUAAUCAUUAAUUAUAAAUUCAUGUUCUCAAUUGAUUUUGAAAAUAUAUUUAACCCAUCUUUGGACUCUAUACUGGAAUCGUUGAUACUCUAUUCUCGCCGUCUUCACUCAAUAGGUUACCCAGAGCAAUCGUUGAAUUUUUGAAACAUAUGUUUGGGGACCUUUUUUUAUAUUGUAAUUUUUAAUUAUAAAUUCAUGUUCCUAAUUGAUUUUGAAAAUAUAUUUUACUGGUCAUUGGACUGUUCCC